rnacentral:ncRNA from 1 species
UUGAAUGCGGGAGGAGAGACCAUGCCAUUGGUAUGGCGCCGAAGGAGCAAGCCAGUCACAGGUGAAUCUCUCAGGCAAAAGGAGGCCCGCUGGACG